rnacentral:hammerhead_ribozyme from 1 species
AUCCAGUUGACGCGUCCGAAAUAGGACGAAACGUGUGUCAAACUGGAU